AUUCUGAUAACCUGAAUACUGAUGGACAUGGCACCUGCCCGGUAAGCAGAAGGUUGUGGGUUCGAUUCCCGCCCCUGGACA